rnacentral:lncRNA from 1 species
UAUAGCUUUGUGCCUUACCAGCCUGUUCUUUGUCGUCGUGUUUUUGGUAUACGUGUUUGUUUUGGUUUUCCUUCUUUGUCCGUUAAUAAAAGAAGAUGAGUAUACAUUUUCCCGCUGCGUCUUGGUCUAAACCCUACGACACCCGUGACAAUGACAUAACCAUCAGCUCUCUCUCCUAACAAAGGAACACUGGAUUUUAUAGCUUCAGAAGAGGUCGAUAAUUGAAGACAGCUGUAUCUCCUGACGAGAGGGCAGGGUCAGAUCUCCAAUCGUUGAUGGGGCCGACCAAUCAGCUGCUUAGAAUUUCCGGAAGCCAUCCUGAAACACACACAUACAAACAAAACCACAACACAGAAACUGGGGAACUUAACAAUUGGUUUGUUUCAGUGUGUUGUUCCACUCUCUUUACCAUCUGACACUUUGUCCCUGUUGAUCCACAUACCUACCCUGCUUCUGGAGACCCGGGGAGUCUCCUGACCAGAGGGCUUUGACUCCCCAGGAACGUCUUCGCCACUCUGGGUUGACCCAGUCCUAUUGGUCUGAGACCACUGAUGUCUGCUCCCCUAGUAGGAACAAGGAGCUCCAAAGUAGCUCAAACCCCCUCUUGGAUUGGGUCUUGCCUCAUUUGAAUGCCUGGAGCCAAUCGUUCCAGUCUGGUUAUGAUCACUAUUUCAACCCUGGCUACCUAGCCACCCUGUGUCUGGACUCCUGACUCCAGCAGAGCAGGGAGCCCUGAGCAGCCCAACAGCCCCAGGGAGACUCUUAACCAGAGGGCUUGGACUCCCCAGGACAGUCCCCGUUGCUUUUUAACUCCUGAGGAUGAUGUGUUGUACUAGUUAAAUAAAAUGUUACAUGUCAACAACCACCAGGUCCUUCCUGGAGUCCCGGGAUAUUUCCCGAUACUCUGGCUCCACCCACAGCAAGCAUUCUGAGACAGCCACCUGAAAUGUAUGCUCUACUAUUACAGGUAGCCUAGUGGUUAGAGCAUUGGGCCAGUAACCAAAAGGUUGUUAGAUCGAAUCCCUGAGCUGAGAAGGUAAAAAUCUGUCGUUCUGCCCCUGAACAAGACAGUUAACCCACUGUUCCUAGGCUCUCAUUGUAAAUAAGAAUUUGUUCUUAACUGACUUGCCUAGUUAAAUAAAAAUAUUACUUAGGAGGAACUGAGAAAUAUGUGGAUCUCAGAUGUAUGUAUGCUCUGCAUUCACUAAGGAGGACCUAUGGCACCUCUGGAACACAGAUACACGUAAGGGCUCUUAGGGUGUAGUGUAGUAUGAUUUCAUUUAUUAUUAUAGUGUCUUGCAUCUUCAGGAUGCCCAGCCCACAUAUGCUUAUAAGACUCUGCAAAUUAAAAAUAAAAUCAUAUAUGCACACAAUAGGCAACAUACUGUCCAUUCACUUAUAGUACUUUUUUGUUGUUGUUUAGAGAUCCUUACAUUUGUGUACUGCUUUGUUUUCUUCAUUUUCAUCAUCUAACACUUUGUCCCUCGUGAUCCUCAGCCCAGGACUUCAGAUGGGCUUUGCCUCUCCAGUUGAGAUCUCUGCAUUCCUUCAAGAGACUGAGAGUUGAGUCUCAGUCCAACAAUAGGAAGAGGUGCCACUGCCUGGGGUGUGAUGCAGAGGACUGGCCUGCCAGCAAGAGAGCCAGGAAUGAAUGUCCAAUUGGCUCUCAUGGGGCCAUGAGGCACAUUAAUAGAACACAAAAUAGGCACCAGAAUAGAGCUGGGCCACAGUACAACAAGACAUUCAUAAUAAAAUAUUGUGACAUUUUUUUCCUUAGAUUUCUUCCUGAGAAAUGCUAUCCAGUACAAUAACUACAACACUUCAAUCCAAUGCAGGAUUAUUUUAAUAAAAAGGUCAAUGUUUUUUCCGAUUAAACUACAAAAUGAUUGUUGGCUAGGCAUGGCUACACAAUACUGUCCAAAUGAUAUAAUAAUUUAUCUUUCUUUUGCCUGAUGAAUAAGCUUUUGAUAUGUGUGUGAAUCAGGAUUGGGGAGUAAAUCAUUUCAUGUAAUCCAGUUACAUGUAAUCUGAUUUAUUUUUUUUUUACCUGUAAUCAAUUACAUUAACACCAACAAAUAUUGUAAUCGUAUUAGAGCUACUUUUCAAAAACUAGAUGAUUAGUACUUUUAAAUUCAGCAAGGAUGUUUGCAUACAAAUACAUUAUAACACCUUUAUGUAUUCUCAAUGACAUUACAUUUAGGAUUUGAAGAAAGG